AGAGUCUUUUUCUGAUAUAGGGACCUUCUGUACUCUUACGGGAUUAGUGAUGCUGCCUCUAACAGUAACUGACUGUAAAUAGUCGCGCGCUGCCAUGGAAAUUCCCUCCUCUCCGCGCAUCAACCGUCAAUCCACGUGACGGCCCGACUGGGCUUUCGCGGUUUUUUUUUCUUUACAGGAAGUGUCAAAGCAUUUCCUGACGUUACGCUCGGUGUUCUAGAGCCGGUUAAUUUGGAAGCUUUUCAAACAGCCUCCCACAUGACAGCUAUAGCCAAGAAAAAUGUCUAACCACAAAGAACAAGUAAGCUAUGAAAAGAUUGCCUUGCUGGAAGGAUAACAUUUAACUACAGCAGAAAGAUUCUGUAAUAGGAAAUAAAAGAUUUAUGCCAUAAUCUCUCACUCCAGGCAAAGGAAAAAGAAAUGGCCUUGUUCAGUGAACAUUGCUAACAAGAUUUUUGCUGGCUUGUUGAAAAUUACUGAAAAUGUUCCUCACUGCAGCCCUGCAAAAGCUGCUGAAGCUGCUCAUGUGGAGCCUGAUUACCGAAAACAAAAAGAAAGCCACUGGAUAGAUAUCUGCAGAUGCACUAAGGGUAGAGAAGCAUCUCUGGUGUCACUUCAUCUCUCGAGUAGUUCAGUAAACCAUGGCACUCUGCAAGAUCCAUGUGCACAGAGUCCACAAGGCAAAAUUUGGUUCAACAUCCCAUUGCCUUUUUAUUCCAAGGAAUAAUGAGAGCACCAACCAAACUGUGUGUCAGAGCUUCAUGAAAAACCUCAAGUUUCCUCAGAAACCACAAUAACUUCAUCAGGUAUUUCUAUUUCCCCCAUCAGCUGGAGCAAAGGCAGCUGAUCCAUAGCACUUCUAAACUCUGCUGCCUGCCACCCAUUCAACAAGGAGCUUCUCUAAUGGAGAAGCCACUGCCUGAAGCAGUCCCAUUAUUUUGCCACUCAGGGAGACAUUGAUAGAAAUCUGCAUGGUUUUUUCCACCACUUGGUCUUCUGCCAUUGUGCCAGCUCCUUUGACUGCUGCUGCUUUUCUGUUUUUCCUGCUGGCCAAGUAAUUAGGACAAACAGUGCUGGCCACCCACCAAAUUGAC